rnacentral:rRNA from 1 species
CGCGUAGGUGGUUCGUUAAGUUGGAUGUGAAAUUCCAGGGCUUAACCUUGGGGCUGCAUUUGAUACGUGUAGACUAGAGUGUGAGAGAGGGUUGUGGAAUUCCCAGUGUAGAGGUGAAAUUCGUAGAUAUUGGGAAGAACACCGGUGGCGAAGGCGGCAACCUGGCUCAUUACUGACGCUGAGGCGCGAAAGCGUGGGGAGCAAACAGGAUUAGAUACCCGCGUA